UACGUAGGGGGCUAGCGUUGUCCGGAUUUAUGGGGCGUAAAGAGCGUGUAGGCGGCCAUGUAGGUCCGGUGUGAAAACUCGAGGCUUAACCUCGAGAUGUCAUCGGAAACCAUUUGGCUAGAGUCCGGAAGAGGAGAGUGGAAUUCCUGGUGUAGCGGUGAAAUGCGCAGAUAUCAGGAAGAACACCAAUGGCGAAAGCAGCUCUCUGGGACGGUACUGACGCUGAGACGCGAAAGCGUGGGGAGCGAACAGG
rnacentral:rRNA from 1 species